rnacentral:rRNA from 1 species
AUUGAACGCUGGCGGCAGGCCUAACACAUGCAAGUCGAGCGGAUGAAGGGAGCUUGCUCUCUGAUUCAGCGGCGGACGGGUGAGUAAUGCCUAGGAAUCUGCCUGGUAGUGGGGGACAACGUUUCGAAAGGAACGCUAAUACCGCAUACGUCCUACGGGAGAAAGCAGGGGACCUUCGGGCCUUGCGCUAUCAGAUGAGCCUAGGUCGGAUUAGCUAGUAGGUGAGGUAAAGGCUCACCUAGGCGACGAUCCGUAACUGGUCUGAGAGGAUGAUCAGUCACACUGGAACUGAGACACGGUCCAGACUCCUACGGGAGGCAGCAGUGGGGAAUAUUGGACAAUGGGCGAAAGCCUGAUCCAGCCAUGCCGCGUGUGUGAAGAAGGUCUUCGGAUUGUAAAGCACUUUAAGUUGGGAGGAAGGGCAGUAAGUUAAUACCUUGCUGUUUUGACGUUACCAACAGAAUAAGCACCGGCUAACUUCGUGCCAGCCGCCGCCGUAACAC